rnacentral:piRNA from 1 species
UCUUGCCGUUUCUCACCAUUGACUUUCC